UGACCAGGGCUACACACGUGCUACAAUAGGUUGGUACAACGAGUUGCGAGUCGGUGACGGCGAGCUAAAUCUCUUAAAGCCAAUCUCAGUUCGGAUUGUAGGCUGCAACUCGCCUACAUGAAGUCGGAAUCGCUAGUAAUCGCGGAUCAGCACGCCGCGGUGAAUACGUCCCCGGGCCUU
rnacentral:rRNA from 1 species